ACUUUUAAUAACCAUGAAUGAAAGGACCAAAAGGAUAAACAACCAUGGCAGUUCAUGUUCCUAAAACUUAAACUUUUUUAUUCAGCACUAGAAACUUACAUUAAACUGAGCAUGAACACCUCGAAGAUUUUCUUGCUUCCAAGUUUCAGGAAAUACAAGAGGAAAAGACUUUGAUUCACCUNGAUGAAUUCCAAUUAUUGAAUCAAGGAAACCUGGUAAUACCUUGUCUCCAUCCUCGGUAUCAAAAUUAAAGCCUGCAUAACUAAUAUAAGUUUAGAGAGAAAAUAUGCAUGAUCUAUUACAAAAACCAAAGACUUCCAUCACUUAUCCGUUAUCAUCCUUCAAGCACAACACCAGACCUUUACUUGAAGGAAUAUUUUUAACAUUUGAUUCAUCUUGAUCAAUGGUUGUUGCUGAGAUGUCAAGAACAGCAAUAUCACAAACCUGUACACAACAAAAAAUAUAUUUUGUAGCAGCCAGUUAGUUUUUGAUAGAGUAGUAAAUAUCAAUUAAAGAUGCAGAAAAGGAAAAGGUAGUUUUAGUAUUAAAGAUGCAGAAAAGGAAAAGGUAGUUUUAGUAUUAAAGAUGCAGCAAAGGAAAAGGAAAAUAACAAAUCUAAUGGUAAAUAU
rnacentral:lncRNA from 1 species